UACGUAGGGGGCAAGCGUUGUCCGGAUUUAUUGGGCGUAAAGAGCGUGUAGGCGGCCUGAAAGGUCAGCUGUGAAAACUCGAGGCUCAACCUCGAGACGUCGGUUGAAACCAUCUGGCUAGAGUCCGGAAGAGGAGUGUGGAAUUCCCGGUGUAGCGGUGAAAUGCGCAGAUAUCGGGAAGAACACCCGUGGCGAAGGCGGCACUCUGGGACGGUACUGACGCUGAGACGCGAAAGCGUGGGGAAGCGAACAGG
rnacentral:rRNA from 1 species